rnacentral:sRNA from 1 species
GGGCCCGCGCCCCCCAGACCCCGAGAGCCCGCAGCUCCAGCCCGGCGGCGAUGGCGCGGAGCGUGCGCGUGCUCGUGGACAUGGACGGCGUCCUCACCGACUUCGAGGCCGGCCUUCUGCGGGGCUUCCGCCGCCGCUUCCCUGAGGAGCCGCACGUGCCGCUGGAGCAGCGCCGCGGCUUCCUGGCCCGCGAGCAGUACCGCGCCCUGCGGCCCGACCUGGCAGAUAAAGUGGCCAGUGUGUACGAAGCCCCGGGCUUUUUCCUGGACCUGGAGCCCAUCCCGGGAGCCUUGGACGCUGUGCGGGAGAUGAACGACCUACCGGAGUAAGGAGAGUGGGGGCAGGCGGAGUCCUGGGCGGGCUCCUGGCUCCCGGCGGUAACCACGUCCUUCUCCGCAGCACGGAGGUCUUCAUCUGCACCAGCCCCCUGCUGAAGUACGACCACUGUGUGGGUGAGAAGUACCGCUGGGUGGAGCAGCACUUGGGGCCCCAGUUCGUAGAACGAAUUAUCCUGACAAGGGACAAGACGGUGGUCUUGGGGGACCUGCUCAUUGACGACAAGGACACAAUUCGAGGCCAGGAGGAGACCCCAAGCUGGGAGCACAUCUUGUUCACCUGCUGCCACAAUCGGCACCUGGUCCUGCCCC